rnacentral:rRNA from 1 species
UACGAAGGGGGCUAGCGUUGCUCGGAAUCACUGGGCGUAAAGGGUGCGUAGGCGGGCUUUUAAGUCAGAGGUGAAAUCCUGGAGCUCAACUCCAGAACUGCCUUUGAUACUGAAAGUCUUGAGUAUGGGAGAGGUGAGUGGAACUGCGAGUGUAGAGGUGAAAUUCGUAGAUAUUCGCAAGAACACCAGUGGCGAAGGCGGCUCACUGGCCCAUAACUGACGCUGAGGCACGAAAGCGUGGGGAGCAAACAGG